rnacentral:rRNA from 1 species
AAACGUUUUCUGCAUCUUGAGUUAAUCAAAAUCCUCUGGAAUGGGGUAUCAUGGAGGGUGACAAUCCCGUUCAUGGUUAAUUCUCAGGUGCUUUAUGAUACGUUUUCGAAGAGUCGAGUUGUUUGGGAUUGCAGCUCAAAAUGGGAGGUAAAUUUCUCCUAAAGCUAAAUAUUGGCGAGAGACCGAUAGCGAACAAGUACCGUGAGGGAAAGAUGAAAAGAACUUUGAAAAGAGAGUUAAACAGUACGUGAAAUUGUUGGAAGGGAAACGAUUGAAGUCAGUCGUACCAACGGGAAAUCAACCUUUCGAGCGGGUUUUGGGGUUUCAAAGAGUUUCAAAGCCUUUGGGAUUUCAAAUUUCUUCUCUUCUGGUGUACUUUCUCGUAGGUAGGUCAACAUCGAUUUUGAGCAUCAUAAAAAGACUGGAGGAAUGUAGCUUCGAUCUCGUAUUGAAGUGUUAUAGACUUUGGUAAAUGUGAUGAUCAAGAUCGAGGAUUGCAACGAAUAUCCUUUUGGGCUAUUCGUCUGAUCUCUGAUCGUUGCCUUGGUAUCGAAAGCUUG